GCGGGGUAAUGGCCCACCAAGGCGUCGACGGGUAGCUGGUCUGAGAGGAUGAUCAGCCACACUGGGACUGAGACACGGCCCAGACUCCUACGGGAGGCAGCAGUGGGGAAUCUUGCGCAAUGGGCGAAAGCCUGACGCAGCAACGCCGCGUGCGGGAUGAAGGCCUUCGGGCUGUAAACCGCUUUCAGCAGGAACGAAAAUGACGGUACCUGCAGAAGAAGGAGCGGCCAACUACGUGCCAGCAGCCGCGGUGACACGUAGGCUCCAAGCGUUGUCCGGAUUUAUUGGGCGUAAAGAGCUCGUAGGCGGUUUAGUAAGUCGGGUGUGAAAACUCUGGGCUUAACCCAGAGACGCCAUCCGAUACUGCUGUGACUUGAGUUCAGGAGGGGAGCGGGGAAUUCCUAGUGUAGCGGUGAAAUGCGCAGAUAUUAGGAGGAACACCGGUGGCGAAGGCGCCGCUCUGGACUGAAACUGACGCUGAGGAGCGAAAGCAUGGGUAGCAAACAGGAU
rnacentral:rRNA from 1 species